UACAGAGGUCUCAAGCGUUGUUCGGAUUCAUUGGGCGUAAAGGGUGUGUAGGUGGCGCGCUAAGUCGGGUGUGAAAUUUCGGAGCUUAACUCCGAAACUGCAUUCGAUACUGGCGUGCUUGAGGACUGGAGAGGAGACUGGAAUUUACGGUGUAGCAGUGAAAUGCGUAGAUAUCGUAAGGAAGACCAGUGGCGAAGGCGGGUCUCAGGACAGUUCCUGACACUGAGACACGAAGGCCAGGGGAGCAAACGGG
rnacentral:rRNA from 1 species